rnacentral:rRNA from 1 species
GGCUAACGCAGGGAACUGAAACAUCUAAGUACCUGCAGGAAAAGAAAUCAACCGAGAUUCCCUUAGUAGUGGCGAGCGAACGGGGACUAGCCCUUAAGCUUCUUUGAUUUUAGCGGAACGCUCUGGAAAGUGCGGCCAUAGUGGGUGAUAGCCCUGUACGCGAAAAUCUCUUAUCAAUGAAAUCGAGUAGGACGGAGCACGAGAAACUUUGUCUGAAUAUGGGGGGACCAUCCUCCAAGGCUAAAUACUACUGACUGACCGAUAGUGAACUAGUACCGUGAGGGAAAGGCGAAAAGAACCCCGGCGAGGGGAGUGAAACAGAACCUGAAACCGUGUACGUACAAGCAGUGGGAGC